CGGAGCGUAGCGCAGCCUGGUAGCGCACCACAAUGGGGUUGUGGGGGUCGCGAGUUCGAAUCUCGCCGCUCCGACCA
rnacentral:tRNA from 4 species